rnacentral:lncRNA from 1 species
CUGCUGUUCCUACCGUGCUGGUGCUUGCUGCGGUUGAGGCUGAGGGAGAGGCUACUGAGACAGAGGGGGUGGCUGCUGAACUCUCGGAGCCGUUCUUCGAACAAAAUGAUUCAGUCAUCCCUACCCGACAAGCCUCUCGAUCUCAUCGCGAAGCUGGUGGCAGUCUUCAGUACUGUGACCAUGGUCAUGAUGGUAAAAGCAGUAUUUAUUCGAGUCUCGAUGGCAUUCCGACCUGAUUCUCAUCAGUCGAGGCUU